rnacentral:rRNA from 1 species
AUGCCUUUUGGGUUAACUAAUGCACCUAGUACUUUCAUGAGAUUAAUGAACGAAGUUUUACGUGCUUUCAUUGGACGAUUUGUGGUAGUUUACUUUGAUGACAUAUUGAUUUAUAGCAGAUCUUUGGGAGAACAUUUGGAACAUUUACGUGCUGUUUUUAUUGCUCUACGUGAUGCACGUUUGUUUGGUAACCUUGGGAAGUGCACCUUUUGCACCGACCGAGUAUCUUUUCUUGGCUAUGUUGUUACUCCACAGGGAAUUGAAGUUGAUAAAGCCAAGAUUGAAGCUAUUGAGAGUUGGCCGCAGCCCAAAACGGUCACACACGUGAGGAGUUUUCUUGGCCUCGCUGGAUUCUAU